CAAACCGACACAGGUGGGUGAGGAGAGUAUCCUAAGGCCAGCGAGAGAACUGUUGUUAAGGAACUCGGCAAAAUGACCCCGUAACUUAGGGAUAAGGGGUGCCACCAUCAGGUGGCCGCAGAGAAUAGGCCCAAGCGACUGUUUACCAAAAACAUAGGUUUCUGCUAAGUCGCAAGACGAUGUAUAGGAGCUGACGCCUGCCCGGUGCUGGAAGGUUAAGGGGAUCUGUUAGAGCAAUCGAAGCAGUGAACUUAAGCCCCAGUAAACGGCGGCCGUAACUAUAACGGUCCUAAGGUAGCGAAAUUCCUUGUCGGGUAAGUUCCGACCCGCACGAAAGGCGUAACGAUUUGGGCACUGUCUCAACAACAGACUCGGUGAAAUUGUAAUUCCGGUGAAGAUGCCGGAUACCUGCGACAGGACGGAAAGACCCCAUGGAGCUUUACUGUAGCUUGACAUUGGGUCUUGGUACUACAUGUACAGGAUAGGUGGGAGGCUUUGAAACCAGGACGCCAGUUUUGGCGGAGCCAUCCUUGGGAUACCACCCUUGUAGUACUGGGACUCUAACCAUAGGCCAUGAAUCUGGUCUUGGGACACUGUCAGGUGGGCAGUUUGACUGGGGCGGUCGCCUCCCAAAAGGUAACGGAGGCGCUCAAAGGUUCUCUCAGUACGGUCGGAAAUCGUACGUAGAGUGUAAAGGCAAAAGAGAGCUUGAUUGCAAGACAUACAGGUCGAGCAAGGAUGAAAAUCGGACUUAGUGAUCCGGUGGUUCUGCGUGGAAGGGCCAUCGCUCAAC
rnacentral:rRNA from 1 species